UGGGGAAUCUUGCGCAAUGGGCGAAAGCCUGACGCAGCAACGCCGCGUGGGGGAUGACGGCCUUCGGGUUGUAAACCUCUUUCGACACCGACGAAGCCAUCUUCGGGGGGUGACGGUAGGUGUAGAAGAAGCACCGGCUAACUACGUGCCAGCAGCCGCGGUAAUACGUAGGGUGCGAGCGUUGUCCGGAUUUAUUGGGCGUAAAGAGCUCGUAGGCGGUUUGUCGCGUCUAUCGUGAAAACCGGGAGCUUAACUCCUGGCUUGCGGUGGAUACGGGCAGACUUGAGUUCGGUAGGGGAGACUGGAAUUCCUGGUGUAGCGGUGAAAUGCGCAGAUAUCAGGAGGAACACCGGUGGCGAAGGCGGGUCUCUGGGCCGAUACUGACGCUGAGGAGCGAAAGCGUGGGGAGCGAACAGG
rnacentral:rRNA from 2 species